CUCCUCCCUGCUCCACCUUACUAAUUUGGGAGAAGAGUUUCAGACCCAUCAACCUGGAAGUUCAGAUGUUUUCAUUGAUAUCCAGCCUAUCUUUUGUAUGGCCAAGAAGAGAAAGGAGCGGCCGUCUUCUCAACAACAUGAAUUUUCUCCCUUAAGACAAGAUGAUGUAGCCCUGCAGCUGCUGCCAGUUCUCCUCCCUACUUACACAUUUGGGAGAAGAGUUUCAGAUCCAUCAACCUGGAAGUUCAG